rnacentral:rRNA from 1 species
GACGAACGCUGGCGGCGUGCUUAACACAUGCAAGUCGAACGGUGACGAGGAGCUUGCUCCUCCGAUCAGUGGCGAACGGGUGAGUAACACGUGAGUAACCUGCCCCAGACUCUGGGAUAACAGUUGGAAACAGCUGCUAAUACCGGAUACGAGACGGAGAGGCAUCUCUACCGUCUGGAAAGUUUUUCGGUCUGGGAUGGACUCGCGGCCUAUCAGCUUGUUGGUGAGGUAAUGGCUCACCAAGGCGACGACGGGUAGCCGGCCUGAGAGGGCGACCGGCCACACUGGGACUGAGACACGGCCCAGACUCCUACGGGAGGCAGCAGUGGGGAAUAUUGCACAAUGGGCGAAAGCCUGAUGCAGCGACGCCGCGUGAGGGAUGACGGCCUUCGGGUUGUAAACCUCUUUCAGCAGGGAAGAAGCGAAAGUGACGGUACCUGCAGAAGAAGCACCGGCUAACUACGUG